AUACGUAGGUGGCGAGCGUUGUCCGGAAUGACUGGGCGUAAAGGGUGCGUAGGCGGCUUGACAAGUUGGAAGUGUAAUACCCGGGCUUAACUUGGGUGCUACUUCCAAGACUGCCGAGCUUGAGUGUGGGAGAGGUAAGCGGAAUUCCUAGUGUAGCGGUGAAAUGCGUAGAUAUUAGGAGGAACACCGGCGGCGAAGGCGGCUUACUGGACCAUAACUGACGCUGAGGCACGAAAGCGUGGGGAGCAAACAGGAUUAGAUACCCUGGUAGUCCACGCUGUAAACGAUGGAUACAAGGUGUAGGGGGUAUCGACGCCCUCUGUGCCGACGCUAACGCAGUAAGUAUCCCGCCUGGGGAGUACGGCCGCAAGGCUAAA
rnacentral:rRNA from 1 species